AGAUAUUUAUAUUAUUAAUAGGAAAGUCAUAAAUAUAUAAAUUAUAUUAUAUAAUUAAUAUAAUAAUAAAAUAAAUUAUAUAUUUUAUUUAUAAUAUUAUUUCUUUAUAAGAUAAAUAUUAUCUAAUUAAUAAUUAGAUUGAAUAAUAUUUAUAAAGAAAUAUAUAUAUAUAUAAAAAAUCAUUAUAUAAAUUUAAUUAUAAUUUAAAUAAAUUUUAUAUAAAUUAAUAUAAUAUUAAUAAAGUAAUUAGUAUAAAUAAAUAAUAUGAAAAUAAAACUUAAUAAAUAUAUAAAUAUAGUCCAUAUAUAUAUAUUAAUAAAAAAAAAGUAAUAUAUAUAUAUAUAUUGGAAUAGUUAUAUUAUUAUACAGAAAUAUGCUUAAUUAUAAUAUAAUAUCCU
rnacentral:RNase_MRP_RNA from 2 species